UGCCAGCCGCCGCGGUAAUACGGAAGGUGCGAGCGUUAAUCGGAAUCACUGGGCGUAAAGCGCGCGUAGGCGGUUACGUAAGUCGGAUGUGAAAGCCCUGGGCUUAACCUGGGAACUGCAUUCGAUACUGCGUGACUAGAGUAUGGGAGAGGGUAGCGGAAUUCCGGGUGUAGCGGUGAAAUGCGUAGAUAUCCGGAGGAACAUCAGUGGCGAAGGCGGCUACCUGGGCCAAUACUGACGCUGAGGUGCGAAAGCGUGGGGAGCAAACAGGAUUAGAUA
rnacentral:rRNA from 1 species